GCCCCCCCGUUACCUGGAGCUGCUGCAGCCCCCCCAGGGCAGCCCCCCACACCCCUCCUCAUCGGGACCCCUCCUGCCCCUCAGCAGUGGACCCCCAGCAUGCGAGGCCCGUG
rnacentral:lncRNA from 1 species